rnacentral:rRNA from 1 species
CUUAGUACGGCGAGUGAAGCGGCAAAAGCUCAAAUUUGAAAUCUGGUACCUUCGGUGCCCGAGUUGUAAUUUGGAGAGGGCAACUUUGGGGCCGUUCCUUGUCUAUGUUCCUUGGAACAGGACGUCAUAGAGGGUGAGAAUCCCGUGUGGCGAGGAGUGCGGUUCUUUGUAAAGUGCCUUCGAAGAGUCGAGUGUUUU